rfam:Alfalfa mosaic virus movement protein and coat protein genes, complete cds; and unknown genes.
UGAUUUACCCCAUUAAUUUGGGAUGCUAAAGUCAUUUAAUGCUGACCUCCACUGGGUGGAUUAAGGUCAAGGUAUGAAGUCCUAUUCGCUCCUGAUAGGAUCGACUUCAUAUUGCUUAUACUAUGUAACGCACAUAUAUAAAUGCUCAUGCAAAACUGCAUGAAUGCCCCUAAGGGAUGC